GAUGAAGAACGUAGCGAAAUGCGAUAAGUAAUGUGAAUUGCAGAAUUCAGUGAAUCAUCGAAUCUUUGAACGCAUCUUGCGCUCCUUGGUAUUCUGAGGAGCAUGCCUGUUUGAGUGUCAUUAAAUUCUCAACUUCACUGACUUUGAAUUGGUGUGGCUUGGAUUUGGGGGGAAAAUUGUUGUGGGCUUUUUGUAUAGUCUGCUCCCCUGAAAUUGAUUAGCGGUACCUUUGUGGAACUGUCUACAGGUGUGAUAAUUAUCUACAUCUUAGACAUCUGCUGGAAUGCUGCUUUCUAAACCUUACUUGUAUUGACAAUCUUGACCUCAAAUCAGGUAGGACUACCCGCUGAACUUAAGCAUAUCAAUAAGCGGAGGA
rnacentral:misc_RNA from 1 species